rnacentral:rRNA from 1 species
GACGGAGGGUGCAAGCGUUGUUCGGAAUUACUGGGCGUAAAGCGUACGUAGGCGGUUGAUUAAGUCAAAUGUAAAAGCCCGGGGCUCAACCCCGUGGUCGCACUUGAUACUGGUCGACUAGAGGGCGAUAGAGGAAAGCGGAAUUCCGAGUGUAGCGGUGAAAUGCGUAGAUAUUCGGAGGAACAUCGGUAGCGAAAGCGGCUUUCUGGGUCGCUCCUGACGCUGAGGUACGAAAGCGUGGGUAGCAAACGGGAUUAGAUACCCCGGUAGUCCACGCCGUAAACGAUGGAUACUAGGUGUAGCGGGUAUCGACCCCUGCUGUGCCGUAGCUAACGCGUUAAGUAUCCCGCCUGGGGAGUACGCACGCAAGUGUGAA